rnacentral:antisense_RNA from 1 species
CACCAUUGCUCUAAUUCAUGCAAGCCCAUUUUUAGGUAUUCUCCAUUGCUAACUGAACAACACUCUCGGCGAAGCAACAAACUGCCAGAAGAUAAACUUUACAAGUCAAGCUACGUCAUAACCAAACAUAGAUGGGACCUGGAGAUCAUUAAGGCUCAGUCAAGAAACAGGAAAAGACAAAUUUAAGCUUGAGCUGGAAAUCUUCGAAAGUGCAUUGUUUUACAUGGUUCUCUGCCAUAAAAGUCAAGGUAUGUUCAAGCUUGUUGACAAUGUUCUGCCACUGUACAUAUGAUGCUUGUUGCUUGGCAAUUGUGGUCAAGUGGAUGCUUUUAGUCACAUCUCGCAAGGUUUUGGCUCUUGUUGGUCUUGGUGCCUGUUACAUCUCACAUAUAACACAUUAUUAACAUACGCGAUUAGCAAAACUUUAAGAUGAGUUCCAUAUUAACUUGAUGAAUGAUGUACUAACAUGGAUACAGAGAUUUAGUAAU